CGGUGGAGCAUGUGGUUUAAUUCGAAGAUACGCGAAGAACCUUACCUGCCUUGACAUUGAUAGAAUCUGGUAGAGAUACUGGAGUGCUAGCUUGCUAGAACUUGAAAACAGGUGCUGCACGGCUGUCGUCAGCUCGUGUCGUGAGAUGUUGGGUUAAGUCCCGCAACGAGCGCAACCCUCGUCGUUAGUUGCUAACAGUUAGGCUGAGAACUCUAACGAGACUGCCUUCGUAAGGAGGAGGAAGGUGAGGACGACGUCAAGUCAUCAUGGCCCUUACGGCCAGGGCUACACACGUGCUACAAUGGGGUGUACAGAAAGCUGCAAUAUCGCGAGAUGGAGCAAAUCUCAAAAACACCUCCCAGUUCGGAUUGUUCUCUGCAACUCGAGAACAUGAAGUUGGAAUCGCUAGUAAUCGUAGAUCAGCGUUGCUACGGUGAAUACGUUCCCGGGUCUU
rnacentral:rRNA from 1 species